ACCGCCACCACCACCAUGCGUUCAUGGUGUGGGGAGAGAAAACCUUAUUUCUCUCUCUAGAUUUCUCUCUUAUCUCUCCAAAUCUCUCUCUAAUAAUUUGAGGGUUGGUGGAGAGCGAGCUUGCGAACGCAUUGGAGGCGUCGGUUCGGGCUUUCGUGCGGCCGUUGCAACGGUGUGUUUUCGUCGCGGCGUUCACAUUGAGGUAAGCUUUUAGGAUUUGGCUUAAUCCUUAGUUCUAAAUGUUCUAAUAGUCUCUAAUGAGCAUUCUAAACAUGUUUGCUCCAUUUAAUUUGGAUUAUUUGGAGAUUAAUUCAUAUUAGGCUUAUAAAAUGGGGUUUUGUAAAAUAUGAGGGUUUGAUCUCAUUUGACCCUUCGUAAACCAAAUUGCUAGGUAAACGAACGCGUUGGCGAAGACGGUUCGGCGAUUCGUCGAGCCGUUACAAAGUUAUUAAAGAAAUGGACGUUUAGGCUUCGGGUCCGCCGGGAGGGCCGAGGCGACGUCGUAAGAUCAUGGAAAUGGAUUUGAAGUAUCGUGGCACAUAACCGAAGACCUUUAAUUUUCGGAUCGUGAAUUGGAGGCCGUUCGGGUGGUCGCGUGAGAGAUCGGGCCAAAUCGGGUGCCGGGUGCCGCGGGAGGCCGAUUGCAAGUGUCGACAAGCAAUCGGA
rnacentral:lncRNA from 1 species